CUAGGUAUGGUCCCAGGGAUCCCAGAUUAAACCAGGCCCCUGGGCCUAUCCUAGAAC
ensembl:miRNA MIR331 microRNA 331